GGGUUACUUGAUUCUAAUGAGGAAAAAGGGGCGGGGUGAGAGGAGAAAAAAAACUCUUAAACUGAAAAGCAUUGAAUAAUUAGGACAUGAGAUGUUGCUAAAGUUGGUCCCAUCCUGCCUUCAGCACCUCAGCGCCAUUAGCCAUAUCAUCGCCACCAUCAAAUGUGACAUGCCUCAUACCCUUCAAAAGAUUCCCAGGGUCACAGCGCUGUCUCCUAGUCUCUCUGUCCAUCUCUCUCAUUCUCCCUGCGUCUCUCUGUGUCUCUAUCUGUCUCUCUGUCUCUCUCAGUUUCUCUGCCUCCCUCUCUCUCUGUCUCUCUCUCUUUCACAGAAGUAGUCUUUCCCACUGCCCAAUCAAUCUCUUGCAUGAGAUCUGUUGCAUGGUAUGUUCUUUGCAGCAUAGUUUUGCCCUGAGCCACCAAGGUACUAUGCUACAUAAACCCCAACAUUGCCUGUGACUUGGUAGGAUGUCUUGGUACCUACACACUCUCUACUUGGGGGUCUGGAUGAGAGGUCCAAAAACCUUGGAAAUGAAUACUUUCUGUUUGCCAGGAAAAUGAACAAGGUUCUUCAGGGCAGCCAUGAACAAUAUUCAAUAACGGUCCUGACACUGGACUGAAAAGAAUGACAAGUCUAGAGCUGAGACAGCUCUGGGACAGCUGGUUGGAGGAGACAACAAGGCCAGAACUGAGGUGGCUUCCGAAAUUCUUCAAGUCCUCACCAAAUAGAGACAAACUAACUUAGUAACCCAUCAAAGUUGCACUAAUGCCACCGCUUUGCCCCCUACCAAUAAUCAUAUAAGUGGUUACCUAAUCCUUCCAGAAAAUUCCCCUAGCCCUGCAUAAAGGGGGCCUGUGAGCUCCUUAGUUGUUUGCCAUUUUGAUGAGUGGCUGACCCCUGCAUGCUGGUAUCUUCUGCAGAAUAAAUAAAUGUUCUUUGUCUUUGUCUGAGUCUGGAGUCCUCCUUCGGCGAGUCUUGGACUCUAAGGAGAACCACACUGGGAGCUAUCACAUGCUCCAGCCCACCUGAAACGGACGCACUUCCUGGCUCACCUAUUGUUGCACACCCUACCCAGCAAUGGAACUUGGUUUGUUGCAAUACAGGAGCUGCAGUAAGACAUGGGGAGAGAGGAGGCAGCAGCAAAGGAGCAGGCCAGCUGCAGCAUGCACACACCAGCGCAUACCUGUUCGCCCCUGCAGUGUCUACCGCAAACCAAGCUGCUGGUCUAACUCUCCUAAGGCUUCUACUAUGACCCAAAGGAAUGAGUCUGCUGCCUUUUCUACAGUGUGGACUUCAGCACAGAUCACAAACAGUGGUGAUGCCAACAUAUCUAAAACAUCUCCUUUUGUAAACUUAAAAAACCCUAGUAAGCUUCAGUGAAUCAACUUGAAUCUACCUCUCGAUGGGUCAAAUGGACUCCAGAUAAUUAUAUUCUGUUUAUUCCUGAGGGUGGGAUCUCCUCAUGACCAUCACCCCUUUCCCUGGACUUGGGACACCCCUCCCUCAACUAUGAGGACCAUGGGCCUAAAAGUUUCAAAUGUACAUCUAAGAAUAAAUUCCCCCCUAAACUCCUUAACUUUCUCUUCAGCCCCAAUAUAUAUUUGUUCCACCGACCUGCCAACUCUUUUUGUUCCCUCAAAAUCUGCAUCCUAGACAGCUUCAAAGUGGCUAACCCCAGGUUGACCAGCAUUCCAAACUGUUCCAGCCGUGCCUGCGUGUCCCUAGCUCCAGACAGACCAGAAGAGCCUCGGCAGAAAGUGACGCAACCUGCUCUUGGACUUGGACUGCAUUGUAGCUUUACCCCAGCCUGCCUUCAGUGACUCAGCACCAGGGGCCAUGUCAUCUCCAGCUGCUAAAUGUGCCAUGCACACCCUUUAAAAUGUCCCUGCCACCAUGGCUCACUCUCUGUCUCUAGGUCUCUAGGUCUCUCUGUCUCUCUGUCUCUCACUCUCGUGCUCUGACUGUCUCUCUAGCUCCUUGUCUCUCAUUCUUUGCCCCUCUCUGUCUCUCACUCAGAAGCAGCCUUUCCUCCUCCCUCACUAAGUCUCCUGGUCUUGGGGGCAGAACUUAACAGAAUCAGUUAUAUUAUGGGCCAGAGCCUUCAUGAACAUCACUUUGCAACAGUGAGUUCUUCCCUCCCGGGGUGGGGUCAGUCAUUAGAGAGUGGGCUAUUAAGGAGCACCAGCCAUCUUUGCCUCUCUUCUUCGGAACAAGUGACCAAUUGGAACUGCAGCGCAAGCUCCCACCAUGUGGCACCCUCAGUAUUGGUAAGCUAUGCAAAGAGGUCCUUGCCAGAGAUGGCUACCUGAUCUUGUACUCUCUGGCCUCCAGAACCAUGACCUAAGUAAGCAUCUUCUCUUUAUAAAUUACCCAGCUUCUGGUAUCCUGCUAUAGCAACAAUACAAACAAGUUAAAAAACUAAAACAAGCCCUGUGUUUAAAAUGCCAGCCACUAGAGACAGAAGGAACACCCAUUCAGAGCCUGCCCCACAUGUGGCCCAUGCAUAUACAGCCAUCCAAUUAGACAAGAUGGAUGAAGCAAAGAAGUACAGGCCGACAGGAGCCGGAUGUAGAUCUCUCCUGAGAGACACAGCCAGAAUACAGCAAAUACAGAGGCGAAUGCCAGCAGCAAACCACUGAACUGAGAAUAGGACCCCCGUUGAAGGAAUCAGAGAAAGAACUGGAAGAGCUCGAAGGGGCUCGAGACCCAUUAUGAACAACAAUGCCAAGCAACCAGAGCUUCCAGGGACUAAGCCACUACCUAAAGACUAUACAUGGACUGACCCUGGACUCUGACCUCAUAGGUAGCAAUGAAUAUCCUAGUAAGAUCACCAGUGGAAGGGGUAGCCCUGGGUCCUGCUAAGACUGAACCCCCAGUGAACGUGAUUGUUGGGGGGAGAGCGGCAAUGGGGGGAGGGUUGGGAAGAGGAACACCCAUAAUUUAAUUUGUAAUCAUGCCAAAGACAGAUGCAGAACAAAUGUUCCCCUGCAAAAUGGAGAAACUGAGGCAUGGAUCACACAUCUAUUAAGAGUUAAAGAAGUAGGUUUGGUUAAUCGU